AGUGAGCGCUGGCGAUAGGCCUAACACAUGCAAGUCGAACGGCAGCACAGUAAGAGCUUGCUCUUACGGGUGGCGAGUGGCGGACGGGUGAGGAAUACAUCGGAAUCUACUUUUUCGUGGGGGAUAACGUAGGGAAACUUACGCUAAUACCGCAUACGACCUACGGGUGAAAGCAGGGGAUCUUCGGACCUUGCGCGAUUGAAUGAGCCGAUGUCGGAUUAGCUAGUUGGCGGGGUAAAGGCCCACCAAGGCGACGAUCCGUAGCUGGUCUGAGAGGAUGAUCAGCCACACUGGAACUGAGACACGGUCCAGACUCCUACGGGAGGCAGCAGUGGGGAAUAUUAGACAAUGGGCGCAAGCCUGAUCCAGCCAUGCCGCGUGGGUGAAGAAGGCCUUCGGGUUGUAAAGCCCUUUUGUUGGGAAAGAAAAGCAGCAGGUUAAUACCCCGCUGUUCUGACGGUACCCAAAGAAUAAGCACCGGCUAACUUCGUG
rnacentral:rRNA from 1 species